GGUUAAGCGACUAAGCGUACACGGUGGAUGCCCUGGCAGUCAGAGGCGAUGAAGGACGUGCUAAUCUGCGAUAAGCGCCGGUAAGGUGAUAUGAACCGUUAUAACCGGCGAUUUCCGAAUGGGGAAACCCAGUGUGACUCGUCACACUAUCAUUAACUGAAUCCAUAGGUUAAUGAGGCGAACCGGGGGAACUGAAACAUCUAAGUACCCCGAGGAAAAGAAAUCAACCGAGAUUCCCCCAGUAGCGGCGAGCGAACGGGGAGGAGCCCAGAGCCUGAAUCAGCAUGUGUGUUAGUGGAAGCGUCUGGAAAGGCGCGCGAUACAGGGUGACAGCCCCGUACACAAAAGCGCAUGUGCUGUGAGCUCGAUGAGUAGGGCGGGACACGUGGUAUCCUGUCUGAAUAUGGGGGGACCAUCCUCCAAGGCUAAAUACUCCUGACUGACCGAUAGUGAACCAGUACCGUGAGGGAAAGGCGAAAAGAACCCCGGCGAGGGGAGUGAAAAAGAACCUGAAACCGUGUACGUACAAGCAGUGGGAGCACCCUUUGGGGUGUGACUGCGUACCUUUUGUAUAAUGGGUCAGCGACUUAUAUUCUGUAGCAAGGUUAACCGAAUAGGGGAGCCGGAGGGAAACCGAGUCUUAAUUGGGCGUUAAGUUGCAGGGUAUAGACCCGAAACCCGGUGAUCUAGCCAUGGGCAGGUUGAAGGUUGGGUAACACUAACUGGAGGACCGAACCGACUAAUGUUGAAAAAUUAGCGGAUGACCUGUGGCUGGGGGUGAAAGGCCAAUCAAACCGGGAGAUAGCUGGUUCUCCCCGAAAGCUAUUUAGGUAGCGCCUCGUGAAUUCAUCUCCGGGGGUAGAGCACUGUUUCGGCUAGGGGGCCAUCCCGGCUUACCAACCCGAUGCAAACUGCGAAUACCGGAGAAUGUUAUCACGGGAGACACACGGCGGGUGCUAACGUCCGUCGUGAAGAGGGAAACAACCCAGACCGCCAGCUAAGGUCCCAAAGUCAUGGUUAAGUGGGAAACGAUGUGGGAAGGCCCAGACAGCCAGGAUGUUGGCUUAGAAGCAGCCAUCAUUUAAAGAAAGCGUAAUAGCUCACUGGUCGAGUCGGCCUGCGCGGAAGAUGUAACGGGGCUAAACCAUG
rnacentral:rRNA from 1 species